GCAGGAGUGAGCCCAGAGGGCAAAACAACAGCAAAGGAAGCCCAAGAGCUAGCACGGGACGAGACAGACUAGAGCCACAGGUGGGAGCUGCGUGGACUUAUUACUCUGAACAAGCUCUCGUUUACGUGGGAAGCGAGUGGGUAACAGAGUGAAAAGCCGAGGGUGGAGGUGCUGUGUCUAAAGUUACAGGAAGACAUCG